CCGGGCACCCCCGCCUCCCGAAUCGUAACACAUCCCCCUCGCUCGCCGAAAUUAAAUUUAUCCACAGCCUUUUGAAAGUGAAAAUAAGAGUACUGGGGAUCUCUGUGAAGAACAUCAGUUGAUCCAGAAUCAUAUUAACAAUCCUGUUGAUACUGGCUCAGAUGCAACUAUAAUAGGACAAGACCAUUGUAUCAGUUAAUGUUAAAUUCCUGAGGUGUAUCUUCGAUAGCAAGGUUUUAUAGCCUACCCCAAUCAGAAGAAUAAGAAUAUUAAAAAUACAAAGCUGUAAACACUUCCAUCAAGAUGAACACCUCCAGCAAUCAAGUAGAGUGAAAAACUUGGGGGAAUAGGGCUCUUUUGGCAGCUUUUCGGAAUGCCAUGAGAGAACUACACCGAAUUCCAAACUUUAGGGACCAAAACAGAAAAGGCUUGUCACCUGGUCCACAUCCCCCUAAUUUCCAAUAAACAUUUAAAAGAAGAAAAAAGACAGGACAGAUAAGAAAA